rnacentral:rRNA from 1 species
AUUGAACGCUAGCGGGAUGCUUUACACAUGCGAGUCGAACGGCAGCGCGGACUUCGGUCUGGCGGCGAGUGGCGAACGGGUGAGUAAUGUAUCGGAACGUGCCCAGUAGCGGGGGAUAACUACGCGAAAGCGUAGCUAAUACCGCAUACGCCCUACGGGGGAAAGCAGGGGAUCGUAAGACCUUGCACUAUUGGAGCGGCCGAUAUCGGAUUAGCUAGUUGGUGAGGUAACGGCUCACCAAGGCGACGAUCCGUAGCUGGUUUGAGAGGACGACCAGCCACACUGGGACUGAGACACGGCCCAGACUCCUACGGGAGGCAGCAGUGGGGAAUUUUGGACAAUGGGGGCAACCCUGAUCCAGCCAUCCCGCGUGUGCGAUGAAGGCCUUCGGGUUGUAAAGCACUUUUGGCAGGAAAGAAACGUCGCGGGCUAAUACCCCGUGGAACUGACGGUACCUGCAGAAUAAGCACCGGCUAAUUACGUG